rnacentral:tRNA from 1 species
GCCAGUGUGGUGUAGUGGCUUCACUGCUGGACUAGGACUGUGGAGAACAGGGUUCAAAUCCCUGCUUGGCCA